ACGUAAAAUCCACUACCACUAGGGUUUAUCAACAGGGCUUCUUCUUCUCCUUGUUUGAGAAGCAAAGCAAGCAGCAUUUUUCAGUCUUCCCAUCUCUAAAUUUCUACGACCAGCUCACUCCAUCUUCCAUCAAUGGGGAAGAAAAGAGAGAGGCACCAAAACCCAGAACCUUUCCUUCCAGAGGAUACAGACUCUAUUGCCUCCUCCACUAAAACACGAUCCAAAGCAUCAAAACACCACCAGAAACAGCAAAAAAUGAUAUCCUCGGGGAUGAGCUCGAAAAUCUUGAAGCAAGCGUUGAUUCAGCAGAAGGAGAUUCAAGCCGAGGAGAGAAACCCUAAUUUUAAUGCUCUAGAGGAAGAAUUGCCUGAGCCUGAAGGAGAGGAAUGUGCCGAGGAUCAAAUUGAUGAUUUUAGUGGCUUCUCCGAGACUCAAAGCCAGUUUAACGAUUAUCCUGAGGAGAUUGAUGAGAAUGAAGAGAAAUUGCUGGAGGCAUUCUUUUCAAAGGAUUCUGGUCCACAGCGAACACUUGCCGACCUUAUUAUUGAGAAAUUAAAAAAGACUGAUGCAAAUGUUUCCUCAGAGUUACAGCCUGUACCUAAGUUGGACCAGUCUCUGAUAGAUUUGUACAAGGGAGUUGGUGAGUAUCUGAGUAAAUACACAGCUGGAAAGAUACCUAAGGCAUUUAAGCACAUCCCUUCUAUGCAACUUUGGGAGGAUAUCUUGUACCUGACUGAACCUCAGAAAUGGUCACCAAAUGCAAUGUAUCAAGCCACUAGAAUCUUCUCUUCUAAUUUGGGUGCAAAGAAGGCAGAGCGUUUCUAUAGGCUUGUCUUACUUCCUAGGGUUAGAGAUGAUAUUAGGACGAAUAAGAGGCUGCAUUUCAGUCUGUAUCAAGCUUUAAAAAAGUCUCUGUAUAAACCUGCUGCGUUCAACAAGGGAAUAUUGCUUCCGUUGUGUAAGUCAGGGACGUGCACACUUAGGGAAGCUGUUAUUGUUGGAAGUAUUAUUCAAAAGGUCUCCAUUCCGAUGCUUCAUUCAUGUGUUGCACUGUUGAAGCUUGCAGAGAUGGAAUAUUGUGGCACAACAAGUUAUUUUAUCAAGCUUCUAAUGGACAAGAAAUAUGCCUUGCCAUAUCGUGUACUUGAUGCAGUUGUUGCUCAUUUCAUGAGAUUUCUUGAGGAUACAAGAAUAAUGCCUGUAAUUUGGCAUCAAUCACUUCUUUCAUUUGUGCAAAGAUACAAGAAUGAACUGCAGAAGGAAGAUAAAGAUAAUCUUAGAAGACUAGUUCUAAGGCAAAAGCAUAAACUAGUAUCUCCAGAAAUAAUCAGAGAGCUAGACAAUAGCCGCAAUCGUGGGGAGAAGGAUGAUCCCAUGUCAAUAACAUCUCCUGUCUCCGUGAUCAAUAAGACAAUUGAGGAAGAUAGGUUUGAUAUUCCAGAAGUACCUAUGGAGGAGGACUGAAUGCUUAGCCUUGGUUACUGACUGGGAGCUUUGAUGAGAUUCAGGCUUGCAUGUUUUUUGGGUGAAUUCAUAUUAUAUAUUAUAUGCAGUUGCUACCCUAGGGCAUGUCUCAUGCAGUCGUUUAUGUACAGCUCUGAGAAGGUGAAUUACAAUGUUGCCUGGAGCCCUUUUUCCUGGGGUGGAAAGAUUAAGCGGCAGUAAAUGCAGAUACUAGCUGCAUUAGCCUGGUUCGAUUCAACUGAGUCGUCUCUGGAAAAUGCUAUAGUUUUCUCAGAACUCUUACCCUGUUUAGUAGUUGGUGGAUGAGUUAGGCAUGCAAGCAUGUAUGAUCGAUAUACAUUUGAUAACUUGGGAUUUACUGGGCUGAACCUAUGCUGAACGAAUAUAAACCCGGCAAGCGCAUCUUGAA